rnacentral:rRNA from 1 species
AUGAGUGUGUUUAAGUUGCCAGCCUCGGUUUGUGAUGAGCUCACCCGUCUGAUGCGUCAAUAAUGGUGGGGAGUGGAGAAUGGGAAGAAGAAAAUGGCAUGGACAAGUUGGGACAAAAUGAUUCUCCCCUAAGCUAUGGGGGGCAUGGGCUUCAGGGAUAUGCGAGCGUUCAACCAAGCGCUGCUGGCCAAGCAAGCGUGGAGGCUCCUUGACUCUCCUGACAGCCUAGUUGCGAGACUAAUGAAGGCAAAAUACCCUCAAGGUCAGUUAUUGGAUACAGUAUUUUCUAUCUGUGGAUCAGCUGUGUGGAAAGGCAUUCUGCAUGGUUUGGAGCUGCUCAAAAAAGGUGUCAUAUGGCGGGUGGGGGACAGGGAGCAUAUCCGGAUAUGGCGAGACCCUUGGAUCCCACGGCCUUCUUCCUUCCGGCCGAUCACCCCAAAAGGCUCCUGCCGUCUCAAUCGUGUUUCUGCAUUUCUAGAUGCUAACGGGGCAUGGAGGGCUGACCGCCUCCGUGAAUUUUUUUGGGAGAUGGAUGUUCAGCAUAUCCUCAAGAUCCGUACCUCUCCAAGACAGCGAUCUGAUUUCAUCUCCUGGUUUCCUGAGAAGAGUGGCAUUUUCUCUGUCAAAAGUGCAUACAGAUUAGCUACAUACGAUCACAAUACAACAUUUUCUGAUGGGGCAUCAAGCGCGUCAGCGAGCAAUUCCCGUUCCUUAUGGAACUGCGUAUGGCAAGCAUCAGUUCCGCAGAAGAUGAAGAUCACGGUAUGGCAAGUUUUUAUGGGCGUUUUACCCACGCAGAAGUGUAAGGUGCUACGUCAUAUACCUACAACAUCUACUUGUCGGCUAUGUGGACUGGAAGAAGAGUGCACCUUCCAUGCCCUGGUUGCAUGCGAUCAUGCGCGAGCAAUUUGGUUGCAGAUGCGCGACAGAUGGCCACUCCCACCGGACGAGUUUCUUCUUGAUAACGGAAGGGAAUGACUUAUGCAUCUUCUGUGUAGAGUAUCAAAUGAUGUACGGGACAUGAUCAUCAUGUUAAUUUGGCGCAUAUGGCAGCUAAGGAAUGAUCAGACCCAUGGCAAGGAUGCGGCGCCUGUCUCAGCCACGAUGGAAUUCCUGGACAGUUGUUACAAAUCAAUUAAGCUUGCUGGUCGUUACUCUGUGGAUGAGAUUCUGAUAGGAAAAAUGCCAUCUUCGGCGAUUCCAACAGUCCUUCCUGGAAAGGACCUUAUACCCCUACCUUGGCCGGCGCCGAGCCCGGGUCAUGUUGCCCUAACUGUGGAUGGAUCCUUCCAGGCAGCGGAUAACUCAGCGGCGGCCGGUAUGGUGUUGCGCGAAGGACAGAUCAUCUUGGCAGCUUACAGAGUCAUGUUCCACUGCAACGACGCUCUGGAGGCUGAACUUCAUGCACUCAUGCAGGGCAUGGCCUUGGCCAUCCAACACUCGGAGUUCCCAGUCGUCGUUCAGUCCGAUUCUUAUGAAGCCUUGGCGAGUCUAUCUAGCGAUGCUCUAACUCGCUCGGCUUACGGUCAUUUGGUUCUAGAGAUUAAGGAGUUGAUGAGUAAUAGGGAGUUUGUACCUCUGAAAAUUUGUCGUUCUUAG